rnacentral:tRNA from 1 species
GUAAAUAUAGUUUAUCAAAACCCUAGACUGUGAAUCUAGAAAGAGAAGCUUGUAUCUUCUUAUUUACC